CGGGGGCAGGGCCAGCGAGGGGGAGACAGACACGGGGAGGCCCACGGCUGGGGACCUGGCGCGAAGGAGGACGUGGCCGCGGGGUGCUCGGCAGCAGGACGACCGAGACGUCCUGUCCCAAAGAGAAGAGCUCAGGCCUGCGCUGCGGGACAUCCAGGGGCAUCAGGGAGGCUUCCUGGAGGAGACGCCCUAACGGGAAGGAAGGCGCAGAUCUAAACGGAGAAAGGCGAGGCCUAGGCGGAAAGCGAGGCAGAUGGGAAGUUAGCUGGGUGUGAAGCCGGGGGAACAACCGCAGAGAUGGCGCUGCUCCCGCGGGCGCCUGCCGGGGCGGGAUCCCCUUAGGAUCACUCGCACCGGAAGUCGAUUCUGGAGGUGUGCGGGCCUGCAGCUCUCGGCGGAACUCACAGGCGCUCGCUCGCGCUCUCUCCCUCCCUCCCUCUCCCAGUCUCACGCAUAGGUGCCGUUGUGAGCACACAAGCUCCACAGGUUGGGAUUUACACUUCUGCAUCUAUCUCAGAAGAGAGGGGAAAGUCUAGGGCGUAGCCCCUAGCUGUCCAUUGAGUCAGGCUGAGCACUGCACCCUCGGGCCUCACACAUGCUCUUUGUUUGAGGAGGGGCCGCCCGCCCUCGCCCAGGGCCCAGCACUGGGCCUGGGAAAGCUCUGUUCCCAGGAGCCUGAGAAGUUGGCCUCUGUCUAAGGCCCUGGAGAGGAGAACCUGGGGGAACCAAGUGCCCUGGGCAGCCGGGAGUCAACCUGCCAGACUCCUCAAACAGCCGGGCCCUCCGGAAGGCUUUGGGCAGGGAGCUGGGGAGCGGGGCCCCAACUCUGGGUGCUGGGAAGACACAGUGGGGUCCCCGGGGCUGGCAGUGCCAGUGGCACCUGUGGCCUGGAUGCGGCCUAGCGAUGCCAACUGUGUCCAGUCCUCCAUAAAGGGCCGGCCUCGCCCACCUGUCCGUGGUGCCACUCAGCUCUCCGGGCAAGACUUUUUGGCCACGCUGGAAAAAUCAUCCUCGUUGUCGAUGUCCUGCUCACCUAGGAGUUGCUGCAACCCUGCCAGUCUGGAGGCGUGGCUUAGCAGCGGAGCCCUCACUGGGCAUGGCUGGGCCCUGAGCUCAAUCCCCAGCACACAAAAGAGAGGAGAAGACCCUCCACCACCCUAGAUGUGCUGGCCCCCAACGUGACAUCUGUGCCACACUUGGCAGUUCCUGCCCUUCUGUCCCCAUCCCUGAUCAUCUAAAUCUUACGACAGCCCCUGAGGCCCCAGGUACAUUUGCAAUCCUCCUGCCUCAGCCUCCUGAACAGCUGGGAUUACAAGCACGACCCCAGGUACAGGUUCUGAGCUGCAUUUUCCCUUGAUGUUCAGAGAGCUUGUGCAGCUGCCCUGAGGACUCCCAGGUAAUGCAGGAAUGGAGGAAACAAGCAGCCCAGACCCAGGUGGGCUGGCUGGGAAGACUCCGGGCUGUGUCCCUGCUCCUUGGACUUGGCAGUUGGGACAGAGACCCCUAGGCUGGAUCUCCGGGUGGAGGCUGGGAGCUGGACUUCCCAGUGGAACCCAGCGACCCCUCAGUGACAGUGACAGCCUAGUCAAGAUAACUGUAUCACCCUGUGCGGGGCCAGAUGGGAAGCGGGAGGCAGGUGGACAGCCCAGGACCCCUCAGGGACAGGCGGUGGUCAGGGCCUGAUGUGCCGAUGCCAGCACAGCCAUUUGCAUCUAAGAGCCCGGAUUCCCGGUGAUGGGGCUGGGGAUGAGGCUUUGGAGAGUCCUCUCUGCCCGAGGAGAGCAGCCUCCUGUUCCCAAGGGCUGGGUGUCUGUCAGUGACAGGACCGUCUUAGACCUGGCCAGGAUGCCAGCCUUCGGGGGCGGGGGCAUCUGGCAGAGCUCACCGCAACUUAAUAAAGCGGAUCAUCCACAGCCCUCCCUCGAACGCUGUAGUGUUUGUCCACAGACCGAAUCAGCAUUACCUGAGCACUGAGAACAGGUCGGAGCCCCUCCCCAGUGUUCAUUCCAGACUGGGAACAUGGGUCAUUCGCUCAACAAACGCUUACUGUGCCCUACAGUGCAGCAGGGUGAUUUCAGGACAGCACUGCCAGAUAAAAUUCAGGAUGUCCAAACUGGGCGUGGGUGCACGCCUAUUAUCCCAGCACUCGGGAGGCUGAGGCAGGAGGGUUACGGUGAGUUCGAGGCCAGCCUGGGCUACAUUGCACCCUCGGGGACUGGGCGACAGGGCCAGAGUGUGGCUCAGGCGUGCUGGCCUUGUGAGCCCCAGGGAGGGCAGGGCUGCAACUGUGGUUCAGGAGGGCAAAGGUGACUUUGGGAAGCGCAAGGAUGGCCCGGGCACCGGGCUCACAGCAGCCCACCCCCGUGUGAGGUCACUGCUGGGCCCAGAACCUGUCCCAGUCGUGUGCCGUCCCGGGGAAGGGCCUCUGCGAGGUCCACAUCCUGUCCCCAGGGGGACCUGCGCCGGCCUCAGGGUCACCCGGGGCUGGGUCCAGCUUGGCUUUGGUGCCUGAUUUUAUAAGCCAUGCUUCGGUGCGUGCUUCCAUUCCUGCAGCUCUGUCUUUCUUAAUUAUUCAAAUGAUUCUCAGAAACGGGAUUACUGACUGAGUCAGUGGGCGUGGGCUGCUCCAGUUCCAGUCACCCAGACCCAGUCUCUUUCCAAGAAGCAGAGACAUGGGGCACUGAUUUGACCAGCACUGGGGACGAUGGGUGCCCUGUCUCCCUGUCCCUGUCCCUCUGUGUGUUUUCGGUCCUAGUGAUCGAACCCAGGGCCUCGGCACUGAGCUGCAUCCCCGGCCUUUUUUCACGUUCUGUUUUGACACAGGGCCUCACUAGGUCAUUAAAUUGCCCGGGCUGGUCUCUGACCUGCGAUCCUCCUACUUCAGCCUCCCAGACUGCUGGGAUGACAACUGGGUGCCACCCUGCUCAGCGUGAAUGAACUUUGUACCUCGGAGAAGUCCAGCUGCCCCGUGUGGCAGUGUUGGGGAGUUUAAGAGAUCGGAGAGACCAACGGGUGAAACGCCAUUCACUUAGGCAUGGGCCCAGCCAUUUGUGUCCGAAGGCUGAGCCCCGGCAGAGAAGAGGCUGUGUUUUCACACCAUCGAGGGCUCGGUCUUCCUAGGGUGUGAAACUGGUGGGUAGGCAAGCGGCUUACAGAAGCAGGACAAAGGCAGCUCCUCAAGUAGACAGUUUUGCCUCUGAGCAUAUCUCCG
rnacentral:lncRNA from 1 species